rnacentral:rRNA from 1 species
AUUGAACGCUGGCGGCAGGCCUAACACAUGCAAGUCGAACGGUAACAGGAAGCAGCUUGCUGCUUUGCUGACGAGUGGCGGACGGGUGAGUAAUGUCUGGGAAACUGCCCGAUGGAGGGGGAUAACUACUGGAAACGGUAGCUAAUACCGCAUAACGUCGCAAGACCAAAGAGGGGGACCUUAGGGCCUCUUGCCAUCGGAUGUGCCCAGAUGGGAUUAGCUAGUAGGUGGGGUAACGGCUCACCUAGGCGACGAUCCCUAGCUGGUCUGAGAGGAUGACCAGCCACACUGGAACUGAGACACGGUCCAGACUCCUACGGGAGGCAGCAGUGGGGAAUAUUGCACAAUGGGCGCAAGCCUGAUGCAGCCAUGCCACGUGUAUGAAGAAGGCCUUCGGGUUGUAAAGUACUUUCAGCGGGGAGGAAGGGAGUAAAGUUAAUACCUUUGCUCAUUGACGUUACCCGCAGAAGAAGCACCGGCUAACUCCGUG